rnacentral:rRNA from 2 species
GACGAGACAUUGAAGUGAGUGGCGAACGGGUGAGUAACACGUGGGUAACCUGCCCUAAAGUGGGGGAUAACAUUUGGAAACAGAUGCUAAUACCGCAUAACAACGAAAACCACAUGGUUUUCGCUUGAAAGAUGGUUUCGGCUAUCACUUUAGGAUGGACCCGCGGUGCAUUAGCUAGUUGGUAAGGUAACGGCUUACCAAGGCAAUGAUGCAUAGCCGAGCUGAGAGGCUGAUCGGCCACAUUGGGACUGAGACACGGCCCAGACUCCUACGGGAGGCAGCAGUAGGGAAUCUUCCACAAUGGGCGCAAGCCUGAUGGAGCAACGCCGCGUGAGUGAAGAAGGGUUUCGGCUCGUAAAACUCUGUUGUUAAAGAAGAACGUAUCUGAGAGUAACUGUUCAGAUAGUGACGGUAUUUAACCAGAAAGCCACGGCUAACUACGUGCCAGCAGCCGCGGUAAUACGUAGGUGGCAAGCGUUAUCCGGAUUUAUUGGGCGUAAAGGGAGUGCAGGCGGUUAUUUAAGUCUGAUGUGAAAGCCUUCGGCUUAACCGGAGAAGGGCAUCGGAAACUGGAUAACUUGAGUGCAGAAGAGGGUAGUGGAACUCCAUGUGUAGCGGUGGAAUGCGUAGAUAUAUGGAAGAACACCAGUGGCGAAGGCGGCUACCUAGUCUGUAACUGACGCUGAGGCUCGAAAGCAUGGGUAGCAAACAGGAUUAGAUACCCUGGUAGUCCAUGCCGUAAACGAUGAAUACUAGGUGUUAGGGGGUUUCCGCCCCUUAGUGCCGCAGCUAACGCAAUAAGUAUUCCGCCUGGGGAGUACGACCGCAAGGUUGAAACUCAAAGGAAUUGACGGGGACCCGCACAAGCGGUGGAGCAUGU